rnacentral:rRNA from 1 species
AGUGAACGCUGGCGGUAGGCCUAACACAUGCAAGCCGAACGGCAGCACAGUAAGAGCUUGCUCUUACGGGUGGCGAGUGGCGGACGGGUGAGGAAUACAUCGGAAUCUACUUUUUCGUGGGGGAUAACGUAGGGAAACUUACGCUAAUACCGCAUACGACCUACGGGUGAAAGCAGGGAAUCUUCGGACCUUGCGCGAUUGAAUGAGCCGAUGUCGGAUUAGCUAGUUGGCGGGGUAAAGGCCCACCAAGGCGACGAUCCGUAGCUGGUCUGAGAGGAUGAUCAGCCACACUGGAACUGAGACACGGUCCAGACUCCUACGGGAGGCAGCAGUGGGGAAUAUUGGACAAUGGGCGCAAGCCUGAUCCAGCCAUACCGCGUGGGUGAAGAAGGCCUUCGGGUUGUAAAGCCCUUUUGUUGGGAAAGAAAAGCAGCAGGUUAAUACCCCGCUGUUCUGACGGUACCCAAAGAAUAAGCACCGGCUAACUUCGUG